AAAACAAUGCUUUAUUAAAUUCAGUCUAUUCACAUUAAAAAAAUUAAAUAUAUACAUAUAUAUAUAUAUAUGUACGUAUCCAUAAUGAUAUUUAAAAAAAAAAAAAGCUAUGUAAAAGAAAAAAAGAAAAGGAAAAAACACGUGGUCUCCUGUUAGUCAAACAUUUCCUCGGUCAACGGCUGAAGAAAACGACAGCCACCAGAUUUUGACACGUGGAUUUGACGGACGAAUUACAACCGCUGAUACAUUUAUUGAUAAGUGCGAUGGAUGACUUUUAUGAGAGUCAUGAAGUAAAAGGAGGAGGAGGAGAUGGCGCUUUCAGUAGCAAGUUUUCACCUGAAAUCAAUAAAUACAGUCUCCUAUACCAUGCAGUAUACACUCUUAAAUUACAUGGAUGGGGGUUUAAAAGUAUCUAUAUACAACAACUAUAUUUAUACAUGCACACACCUAUAUAUACAUAUAUACACACAGGUAAUAAGAUUUGUAGGGUAGAGCUAAACUACCAGAGAUAUGGCUUGUCACCAGAAUCACAAUAUAAGAACUAGUACUUCUAGCUUCCCACCUANNNN
rnacentral:lncRNA from 1 species